UUCCGAUCUCCCGACGGGUCGCCACGUGUGAUUUUAUAAGGAUACAACGAACAAAAAAGUCAUUUUUAACAUCAUGCCUCCUGAAGCUGACCAAAUCACGUUUUAACAUCAUACUUUCAAAUGUUUGGUCUAAAUGCAUGACACAUAGUAACAUUAUAAACGGUUUUAAGGCUACUGGUCUGUUUCCAUUAAAUCCCGAGGCAAUAGAAACAGCAUUUGCUCCUUUAAUUCUCUCAGAUGUACCGGCACCGGAUGACACCAACAAAGAAAAUAGGCGUCCACCUGAAUUUCCUCAACCUGGUCCGUCUGGAAUGGCAUCCAACAAUUUUGGCAAAUUUUCCUAUUCCAAUGUUUACUCUUCUGACUCGGAUUCGACUGAUGACCAUAUCCCUCUUGCUGAAUUAAAGAGACGAACAACAAAAGUCACUUCUUUUAAUGAGCUUUUGCCCACACCAGUAAAAACUAAUGAAAAACCUAAAAAAAAUCGAAAAAAAGCUCUAAACUACAAAGGAACUCCAGUCACUAGAGAUCUUUUUACCGAGGAGAACAAAAGUCGUGCCAAAUUGAAUAAAGAUAUUGAAAGCUUCUGGGAAAAGUUAAGUACCGAAUGGUAUUGCCAUGGAUGUGAGGAAGACAGGCAGGCCGAUAUGAGGCAGUGCAGCAAAUGUCUUAAAUGGUACCAUAAGGAAUGUAUUGGCUUAACAGUCAAUGACAUCGAUGAUUUUGAGUGUCCCGAUGGCUGCUAAACUUCGCCCAAUUAACGAGUUGUGCCAUUUUUAUGUAUAGGCUACUUAACCAUCGGAUAUUAAAGCCGAUUUGCGUUAUUUUUCUUAAUAUUUAUUUUUUGUUUUCUAGUUUUUUUAGAGAUUAUUUUUUUAAAUUUGUUAAAAUUAAUAUAACCUUAUAAGCACUUUGGUGUAUUAAACUAAAUAUUAACAUUACA